rnacentral:lncRNA from 1 species
UGGGGUGGAAUAGGGGAGGGGUGGGAUGGGAUUGUCAUGUAAUUAUUGUGUGAUGUGUGUCUACAUUGUAACAUAUACUCGCAUCUGCUGUCCGUCACCGCCUGACUCGGCGUGACCGACAUGCCUGUCACCGAUAGUGGCCGCUAGGGACCCCUCAGGUCCCAGUCGGACCCUUCAGGUCCCAGUCGGACCCCUCAGGUCCCAGUCGGACCCCUCAGGUCCCCGUCGGACCCCUCAGGUCCCAGUCGGAUCCACCGUCCACCGCCUUACCGACCGUUUCUCUCUUCCCGGUCAGCGUUAUGAGGUGACGGCUCGGACCGACCCCAUGUGUGUGCUAUAGUGUAUGUGGGAGUGUGGGGUGGGGUGGGAAGGGACGGGUGGAGUGGGGAUAAUGUGUACGCCAGUACUGGUCCAUAUAGACAGACCAUAGGCACGUUGUUGUUUGCCCGUGCCGAGCUUGGCCCGCCGGCCCGCUAUUGUAUGUUCGUACCGAUGUCUUUAUGGAGCUCUGUAUUGGCGACUACCGCCAAUCUGUCAUUAUAUUGUUCGAACUCAAUAUGUACGUACCAUGUAGUGUAAGUGGCGCAUACCGUCUCCGAUCCAUUGACUAGGAGCGCCAGCUGUAUGUUUGUGUGUGGAGCCCUAUUCGUGGCCUCCUGCCGUCCGUGGACCCUGCUGCCACCGACAAACGUAGUAGAUAUGUGUUCGUCCAGACCGGAUGCCCUUUGUGGCCGACUAUUGCUGAUGGCUGUGUUCUGUUCGUAGCCUGAUGCCGAUCGAGGCUGCCCUGUCGUCCGUGGCCCCGCUGCCACCGACCAGUCAUUGACGCUCAGUGACCUUACGCUGACUAACCUGUUUGGUCUGAUGACGCCCAGCGUCCCUGUACGAUUCGCUGAUGUGUGUCGCACCGAUGUGCUGCCCGUCUCGGUCGGCCCGCACCCAGGGCUCGUCUGGCCCCCCUCUACCCCCCCCCCCUUCCCCGGCACCCUCUGUCCCCUGUAGCCCCGGGGUCGUGGCCGGCCGCUGUCGGUCGACCCUCCCCGAUGCCGCACGGGGUCACGGUGCCCUCCCUGCCCCGAGGCGGUGGUGUGGGGUCGGCGCCCUCCGGUGGGUCUCGGCCGGUGUGGGCCGGGAGGGCCCCGGACUCCCUCUCCCUGGCUUGGUGCCUGGUGGCUGGUGACGGGCGGCCAUGGUGAUGGCGUGGUGCGGCUCACCACACGAUGGUGAGGCACGGAUGCAGGCCUGGUGCCGCUUAGUGCUUAGAUGGUAGCGUCACACGGGGAGCGCUGCUCUGGUGAUGGUGUGGGCCGCUACGGCGGCGGGCAGGUGGGCCCCAGUGGCCGCCCCGACCGACGCGUCGGACCGCCAGCCGGUGCCGGGGCGCACAGCUGGCGGUGCCCUGCUUUGGUGAUGGUGAUGGUGGUGCAGAUCCCCAGCAACCCCCUCCCCUCCCUCCCUGGCCCGCCGCGCCGGCCCGCCGUGGUGCCUCCCCCACUGCCGCCUCCCUCCUCCCCCUCCCCGAUCCUCCCGCCAGCCUUGCCCGGGGUGUGUGGCCGACCGCCAUGGUGACCCUCCGGGGUCUGUAACUAUUGGCUUAUUUAUCUCUGUGCAUGGUUUGUAAAACGGACCGGCAUGACUGUUGC